ACGGAGGGUGCAAGCGUUAAUCGGAAUUACUGGGCGUAAAGCGCGCGUAGGCGGUUUGGUCAGUCAGAUGUGAAAGCCCCGGGCUCAACCUGGGAACUGCAUUUGAUACUGCUAAGCUAGAGUAUGGUAGAGGCAAGUGGAAUUCCAGGUGUAGCGGUGAAAUGCGUAGAUAUCUGGAGGAACAUCAGUGGCGAAGGCGACUUGCUGGACCAAUACUGACGCUGAGGUGCGAAAGCGUGGGUAGCAAACAGG
rnacentral:rRNA from 1 species